GGGGUGCUAGAGCUAUUCCACACAGGUUUGACUCUCUGCCACCUAUAGGUGGAGCGAGGGAGCAUGAGUUGUCAUCUGUUCCUCGUGAGAGAAAAGAGAUUCAGUAACUACAAGAGUGGAAGUGGCAUCUUCCUGUUAUUUGGUGUGACUUUGGCCCCAGUGGAAGAGACUACAGCUAUAGAAGUGAAUCAUAGCUUUUCAAUCCAGUGAAGAUCUUUGUUAUUGUAAGAAGUGGAUAGUGGUACCCAUAUCCUUGAAGAUGCAGGAGUAGAGUGAUGGUUUAGAAAUAGAUAUCUCACUUCUUUGACCUUCUGGUACCCCAUUGUUAUGGUUGGAGUGCACACAAGCCACUGAAACAAUGUAUCUUACAGUAAAUUGCCCUAUUAAGUGGUUUAUAUCUGAUUUUUACCAGAUACUACCAUUUUGAGGCAGUGGAGACACCCAAGUUUGUUCCAAAACAUGGCUGACAGAUUAACACUUUGAAUUCACAAAUGUGGCUCAGUGUGAUGUGUGUGCAUCCUUCAGGGAGCAAAAUCUGAGGCUAUUCCCAGAAAUGCCAGGGUGCUGCUCUGUAGGGCUGGAAAUAAGCAAUGGACACAUCCUCACAGUAAAUCUUCGUUGCUUUUAUCACCCUCCUUGCAGAACUUUCUGUGGGAUCCAGAUUGCUUUGGUCUACUGGACAGAAUUCCAUAUUCUAGAUCUUUCCAUUUUCUUAUGACUCCAGGUUUGAUGAUUCAAUGGAUGGGAACUAAGAUUGUCUGCUGCUAUCUUGCUGUCUUAAAUGUGGAUUUUGUCUCAACACUGCCAAUCUUAAAGCAUGAAUGCCCCUGGCACAGGCUCUAGGAGAUGGUUGGAGGAAUGAGUCUUUCAUAGAACUGUGAAAGAAGUGCAGCCAAAUCAGGGCAAAGCAUGGGAGAAGAGAGGGAAGCAUGUGUGAGGCCAGGAAUAUUUGGUGCAGAGGUGGCACUUAGGUCUCUUUUUACUUCAGGCAACGAUGUUUUCCCCUCUGCUAUGCUUUUGUGAGAAAGUCAAGUUUCAAAUAAAAUAGCAAAUAACCCUAAUGAAGCAGCAAUUUAGCUUGAAUCAGCAAUAUUCUACAUACAUUUGCCUCACAGUGUGACCCGAGCAAACCUCCCCUUCGUGAGAAGGAGCAGGCACCUCAUUUGCUGCCUUUGGCUGAAGAUUUGCCAUAUUUAAGAGAACAAACAUGAUUUCCCUAGAAUCUAACUUCUAAUGUGCUAUGGUCAGACUAAGCUUUUAUAUUAGUCAUAUGGCAUUUUCCUCAGAGCCCACAUGGAAAACCCACUGUCUCGUCCUACUGAAUGUUCUGUGCAAAGUAUCAUCAAAGAAGCCAAAUGCCCUGAACUCCAUGGGAGAAAACCGCAGAGGACACAGUUCUGGACCUGAUUCCUGAGCAGGCUUGCUCAGAUCCCCCAGUGCCUCUCUGCCCAGGAUCAUCUCCAGGACCAGGGCAGGGCCCAGAACAAAUCCUCACCUCCACCCCCUAGUUUUUUUUUUUUUUUAGGGCUGCACCCCCAGCAUUUGGAAGUUCCCAGGGUAGGGGUCAAAUUGGAGCUACAGCUGCCACCCUACCCCACAGCCACAGCAACUGGGUUAACAAUCCGGUGUUGCCGUGAGCUGUGGUGUAGGUUGCAGACGCGGCUUGGAUCCAGCGUUGCUGUGGCUCUGGCGUAGGCUGGUGGAUACAGCUCCGAUUAGAUCCCUAGCCUGGGAACCUCCAUAUGCCAUGAGAAUGGCCCAAGAAAAUGG
rnacentral:lncRNA from 1 species